rnacentral:rRNA from 1 species
UACGAAGGGUGCAAACGUUGCUCGGAAUUAUUGGGCGUAAAGGGCGCGUAGGCGGCUUUUCAAGUGACGGGUGAAAUCCCUCGGCUUAACCGAGGAACUGCCUGUCAGACUGGAAGGCUUGAGACCGGGAGAGGUGAGUGGAAUUCCCAGUGUAGCGGUGAAAUGCGUAGAUAUUGGGAGGAACACCAGUGGCGAAGGCGGCUCACUGGACCGGAACUGACGCUGAGGCGCGAAAGCGUGGGGAGCAAACAGGG